UAAGUCUUGAUCCUUCCCUGUCCAGUGAUAACUAUGAGCAGCUAAUUGUAGCAAUCACAGCCUUACAAGGACAAGGUAACCAGGGCUCAAACACCUCAGGGAUGAAGGUCUGGAUCAUCCUACUGCGAAAACUGCCUAGGCUUAGAGUGAGAGGAAUCUAGAAUGGAUAGAAAGGGGGAAGGGUGUGAUGGAUUUCAAUUAUGACAUCAGAUCCAGCUGUGAAAACAGGAACUGCAGCUUAUUCUGCUUUCUACAAGACUCAAGAUAAGAUGGAAUGCUGGUGGAUUCUGCUAAAUUUUGUCAGCUUUUCCUGAGGUUAAAAGGAUGGCAGAUUCAACACUGGCUGCCACCUUUAGAAGCAGCCAUCUUGGAUGAUGAGGCAACUUGAUGAUGGCAACUAUGUACUAAGGAUAGAGGAGAAGAAAGAUAGAAAGAGCCUGCAUCCCUGAUGAUGUUGAAAGACUGCAUCCUAGCCAUGGACUGCCUCCUUCUGCAGUUCAUAUUAUCUCUGUGAACCUUGAAGUCACCAGCAGAGAAACCCCAAGGAAGGGCUGAGGUUGUUCCAGUUUGGGUGAAGGUCUAUGUGGCCAGGAAGAUGGGACACUGGGAUUGGCCCAGCCUGGGUCACACAGCCACCUUGGUGGUGGUGUUGGUAGGAGGCAGAGUCAAUCGAGUGUGGUACCAGAAUGGGGCAAGGAAGUGAGUGCUGGAAAACAAAGACUGGAGCUCUCAUAUGCCUCUUAUUUGCCUCUUGAGGAUAUUGAGAAAAUACACGUCUGCUAAACUCCUUGAAAUUUUUUGUACCAGUAAUAUAAGGAAUCGCUAUCAUCAGCAUUCUCAUCCCAGUCUUUGCGGCCUUUUUCUUUCCUAUCAGACUUACACUAGAUUUAGAUCUCACUUCUUUCAGUGCUGAGGCAGCUCCUGGAAGGCCCUGCAAAGCUAAAACCCCAAUCGCCCCUCCCACCCCACCACUACACUGGUGACAGAAUAUGUGAUGCAGAGACAAGGCAGCAACAUCCACUACUGAAACAGCCCCUUUCAGGGGGAAAAAGCAUCAAUGUCAAAACUGCCAAUAAAGGGUCUACAGAAAAAACACAAAAUCAUCCCCAAACUAAACAGCUGCCUGGCGUGGGGUAUUGCACUGCAAAAUUUCCCAGCUGUGUGUGUGUAUUAAUCAUGUCUUUUUAUUUUCCAUACUCUGAUGCUUUGACAUGUUGGGGCCCUGCUGACCCUGGAGGGACUGCCCCUCCCAGGGUUAGCUAAUUCCAAGAGAUAGCACCAACUCGCCGAGGAGCCUGCUUUUCAAAUGCCAACCAACCAAUGCAGAGCCCACACCCCCAACCACCGCCUCUACUGGAUUCUCACUCUCUGGGCCACUAUCCACCUACCCUAGUCACUCCAAAACCAGAUGCAAAAUUAAAGAAGCUAAGAAUCCACUCAAGGUCACACAGCUGGUAAGUGACACAGCCAGAUUCAAAGCCAGGUCUGACUCCAAUGCCUGUGCUGAUUGCACCAUGCCAGUGAGUCUCAAAGCAGGACCGACAUCACCUGGAACUUGUUAGAAACACAAAUUCUGGGCCCCACCCCAGACCCAUCGAAUCAGGAACUCCAAGCUCUGAUAUGGUUGUCAGGAAUGUGGUGGAAACAAGCGAGAUUCUUGGAUAAAUAGCAUCUUCAGGGGUUAUUGCAGAAGGAAUGAAAUGAGAUAUUAUCGAAGAAAAGACUUCAUUGAAAGACUUUAAUUGCUAUGGUUUCCCUUGACCUAUGUUGAUACAUAAAUAUUUCACUUUUUACUACAUAUAACUAUGGAGAGUAUUUCAUUUCAUAGAAGAUCGUUAUGUUUUGUGCACUAGAUGUCAGUAGAGCUCUAUGGUUCAGCUAGUACAGCUACCCGACUGAGAUGAUCUGUGCUUGGAAAAUAAACUCCUUGUGCUUUUGCUUAUUUUGCGUUUCAUACCGAAUGGCCAUGAAUUUGUGUCCUCGCCUCACACCCACCCUCAUUUCCAUCCCACUAGAAUUCUGCUUUCAGCACAAUUUUCUG
rnacentral:lncRNA from 1 species